rnacentral:precursor_RNA from 15 species
CCAUCCCUACUUGAUAAAGAACGUAUGAUGUAUCAGAGUCUUGGGUCCUUGUGUAGAUGCUUUGAGACUUCAAGGAUCCCUGACUUGAUCAUUGUGGGUUCUCCCUUCACCGAUGCAGCUC